AUUGAACGCUGGCGGCAUGCUUUACACAUGCAAGUCGAACGGUAACAGGGUGCUUGCACCGCUGACGAGUGGCGAACGGGUGAGUAAUGCGUCGGAACGUGCCGAGUAGUGGGGGAUAACGCAGCGAAAGUUGUGCUAAUACCGCAUACGUACUGAGGUAGAAAGUGGGGGACCUUCGGGCCUCACGCUAUUCGAGCGGCCGACGUCUGAUUAGCUAGUAGGUGAGGUAAAGGCUCACCUAGGCGACGAUCAGUAGCGGGUCUGAGAGGAUGAUCCGCCACACUGGGACUGAGACACGGCCCAGACUCCGACGGGAGGCAGCAGUGGGGAAUUUUGGACAAUGGGCGAAAGCCUGAUCCAGCCAUGCCGCGUGUCUGAAGAAGGCCUUCGGGUUGUAAAGGACUUUUGUCAAGUAGGAAAUCCCUAGUGCUAAUAACACUGGGGGAUGACAGUACCUGAAGAAUAAGCACCGGCUAACUACGUGCCAGCAGCCGCAGUAA
rnacentral:rRNA from 1 species